CCCUUCCGCCCCGGGAGGAAGAGCCGCCGUGCCCCGGGCGGGCGGAGGCCGGGGCAGGGCUUGUCCGAGCCUGCCCGAGCUCUCCCGGCUCCGGCCUCGGUGCUCGGCGGGGCCGCUGGUGCUGUUGCUCGGGGAAGCAUUCGCGGGGAUCCUGCUCCGACGGCGAAACCGUCUAUGUUUAGACAGGGAAGUCCUCGCCCGCUGGCACCACGGCCGGGGCUGAAGAGCAACGGCAGGGAAGGGGAAGACUGGGAGCCUGCGCGACUGCGACGCUGGGUGUGCGAUUGCCCCAAACACCCGCGAUGGACACACGGGGCGUAUGCCCGGUAGAAAUAGAGCUCUCGGUCGGGACGAGUUUUGGGUUAUCUUUUUCCCCCCACUGCUCGCUUUUGUGAAAUGUAUGGGCGGAUGAUUUCCCCUCUUAGUUGUGCUUCGUGACAGUGGCUGCCUUCCUGCGCUGGGGAGCGGUGUUAACGGCUGGGAACAGCUCCGAUGGGUUAAAAUCCAGUCUCUGAAUGCGGUUCCUGUCCUGGAGAGUCCCCUCAUCCCGGGCUUGCCUCUCCUCCGCAGCUCCGCGCUUCGCGGCGAGGUCUCAGUCCCGCUUCGCUGUUCUUGCGACAGGACACGGCGCUUGCUCAUCCUCCGUGUGGACUGCGGCUCCUCUCCUCCCACUCUGCUAUGGGGAAAAAAAAUAAAAAUAAUAAAAUAAAGGAGGAACAAAAAAUAAAAUAACGAAAAUCGCCCAUUUGGAAGACGGACAUUUCUCCGUGUCGCUCAAAAGACUGACAUCUUUUGCGCACAAAACCCGUGGCCAGAGGGAACUCUGUUAAUAGCUCUUUAAGUGAUGGUGUAAAAACUGACUGGUGGUGGAAAGUAGUAACUAGUGGUAACAAAGAAUAGAUCCAAACUACGA